rnacentral:rRNA from 1 species
UACGUACUGUGCGAACGUUAUUCGGAAUCACUGGGCUUAAAGGGUGCGUAGGCGGCCAAUUAAGUAGGGUGUGAAAUACCUCGGCUCAACCGAGGCAUUGCGCUCUAAACUGGUUGGCUUGAGUGAGAUAGGGGUGUGCGGAACUUCCAGUGGAGCGGUGAAAUGUGUUGAUAUUGGAAGGAACGCCGGUGGCGAAAGCGGCACACUGGGUCUUAACUGACGCUGAGGCACGAAAGCCAGGGGAGCGAACGGG